CGGUAAUACAGAGGGUGCGAGCGUUAAUCGGAAUUACUGGGCGUAAAGGGCGCGUAGGCGGAUAAUUAAGUUAGAUGUGAAAUCCCUGGGCUUAACCUAGGAACUGCAUCUAAUACUGGUUAUCUAGAGUGCGGUAGAGGAUAGUGGAAUUUCCGGUGUAGCGGUGAAAUGCGUAGAUAUCGGAAGGAACACCAGUGGCGAAGGCGACUAUCUGGACUGACACUGACGCUGAGGCGCGAAAGCGUGGGGAUCAAACAGGAUUAGAUACCCUGGUAGUCCACGCUGUAAACGAUGAGAACUAGAUGUUGGUAGGCUUGGACCUAUCAGUAUCGAAGCUAACGCGAUAAGUUCUCCGCCUGGGGAGUACGGCCGCAAGGCUAAAACUC
rnacentral:rRNA from 1 species